rnacentral:rRNA from 1 species
GAUGAACGCUGGCGGCAUGCCUAAUACAUGCAAGUCGAGCGAAGCGGGGAAGGGGGAGAAACACGUGGAUAACCUCCUAUAAGGAUGGGAUAACUUAGGGAAAACGGAGCUAAAACGGAUACUUAUAGAUGGUUCCGAGCUGCAUUAGCUAGUGUGUAAGGUAACGGCUUACCAAGGCAACUAUGCAUAGCCGACCUGCGAGGGGGAUCGGCCCCACUGUAACUGAGACACGGUCCAGACUCCUACGGGAGGCAGCAGUAGGGAAUCUUCCGCAAUGGGCGAAAGCCUGACGGAGCAACGCCGCUUGAGUGAUGAAGGUCUUCGGAUCGUAAAACUCUGUUAUUAGGGAAGCGGUACCUAAUCAGAAAGCCACGGCUAACUCCGUGCCAGCAGCCGCGGUAAUAC